rnacentral:rRNA from 1 species
UACGGAGGGUGCAAGCGUUUAAUCGGAAUUACUGGGCGUAAAGCGCACGUAGGUGGUUUGUUAAGCCAGCUGUGAAAUCCCCGGGCUCAACCUGGGCACUGCAGUUGGAACUGGCAAGCUAGAGUAGGGUAGAGGGGUGUGGAAUUCCAGGUGGUAGCGGUGAAAUGCGUAGAUAUCUGGAGGAACAUCAGUGGCGAAGGCGACACCCUGGACUCAUACUGACACUGAGGUGCGAAAGCGUGGGGAGCAAACAGG